rnacentral:lncRNA from 1 species
GGGGGGCCUCCCAAAGCUGUGCAUUUUGGGGCUUUUGCUCCUUUCUCCGGGGCACGGGGAAGAGGGGGACAGGUUAGGGGCCCGAGGCCACUCUGUGUGGCUUCAAGCUUCAAAUUUAUUAUUUUACUUUACUUAAUUUAUUUUACUUAUUACGUAGGCACCACGCCCAGCUUGGAGCCCAACGUGAGGCUUGACCUCAGGACCCCGAGAUCAAGACCUGAGCUGAGAUCAAGACCUGGGCGCUUACCCGACUGCCCCCCCCCCCCCCCACCUUCUUGCAUGAACCCCUCAGGAGCUGCCUGCCCUUCCAGAGCUCUGGCUCAGAGCCUGUGUGCGGCUGCAGGGCUGCCCUCACAUUCCACGUCAGGAGAACUUUCGGCCGAGAGCAAGAUGGGCCCCGAAGGCUUUUUUUCCUCUCAGAAGCACAAAGGCACCAGCUGGCCUGGAAGAGCACGCAGCUCAGGAAGCCAGCCAGUCCCACCCCUCCUAGGAGGGCGCCGGGGGCCUGGGGA